CUACAGACUGUGCUUCAGUGUCUGAGAGGCAUGUCCGGACAGGGCUCUUUUAGUCCUAAACUCCGCCCCCCUCGACUGAAGUUAGUAUAGCGGGGGGCUCCAGUAAAGAGCUUUCUAUGCUGCUGCCAAUGGGUGGUGGGCUGGAUCCCGGUGCUGUUCAUCACGGAGGUGGCCUGCUGGUCUUACUAUGCCUGUUUGUGCUGGAACUGUGUGCGUCUUCAUGUGGGAGUUGUUUUCCCUCCUCCUCACUAGUUCUCAGCAGAAUCACAGCUUGAACAUCCUGGGAGAGAAUCCAGAGCAUUCACACUGACUAACCUGAAAACAUCUGAGCAGUGAUAUGCUCUUAUAUGAGUGGACAGAACUGCUGCAAAGAUGUGAGGAGCCUCUGGAAAGGGCUUGGGGUACGGGAAUGCCAAGCCUGGGAGCUUGACCAGGAGAAUCUUGAGCUCCAAUUCAAAGGAGGAGCUCACACUAUGGAGAGUGCUGGGAGCUGUGUCGUGAGAAGUGAAGGUGGUUUGUUGUGCUCGCACUGCAGAUUGUGUUGGGAGCUGUACCCUGAUGAUUCAAAGCAAGUUUUGUGUGCUUGGCUGAAGGAUUACAUCACUGUGGAUGCCUGUUCCAGCUCUAUGUGAGGCUGCCCAUCUGAGUGAGUCCACGGGUGAGUUAUGCCUGAGGGAGGGCAGUGAAAGGAUCCAGCAUGUGUCCCCUGUUAAAGAUACAGGUGUUGUUUGUGUGCCUGCUAUGUGGGAGCCACUACCUCUGUCCAAGAGGUAUUUGGGUAGGUAACGCUACCUGGGAAAAGUUUAAAGGAGAAUUCAACCCUAAAGUUUAAAAAAACCCUACCCUACAUUGACCCCCUCCCUCCUCCCCCCCCCAGCCAUCUUCUUCUCUUUGGUAAUCUUCAGGAAGUAAGUGCCAUAUUGGUGAAUGUGCAGUUGGAUCAAUUUUCUGUCUCGUGACAACUGCGCAUGCGCCAAAAAAAAAAUCCGGUCUCAUUCCGAAGAUUACCGAAGCGGCUGAAGAUGGCGCCCAUGAACUUGACUGGACAGGAUCUGCACGAAGGGGUAAGUAAAGACUAAGGGGCAUUUGCCCGGGGUAACACUUAUGCUGGGGGUGAGGAGGGAGGGGGUCUAUGUAAGGUAGAGGGGUAGGGGGGUUUUAACUUUAUGAUUUAGUUCUCCUUUAAGAGCUCUUUGGGGAAAAGGGACUGAGACUCUUUGUCCACUAGGAGUGGAGUGUGGGACUUUGUCUGGCAAGGAGGUGCCAGGAUGGGACUGCAACAGGUUACUCAGGGUAUUGGGUUAGUAAUAUAUAACUUCCAUAUUUACUUUGCACUUUUCUUCUGAUAUAUAAAGUUAUUCGUUAUACUGCAACUGUGUGUGUGAAAGUAUUGUUUUCUUACUGGAGCCAUCCGCAGGUGUAUUCCCAGAUCUCAUUAGGUGAAGGCACUGCCAUGAGAGGUAAGUUCCCAGUACCCUUCAUGUAGCAAAGGGAAUUCAGGACCUGCAUACGGUAAGAAAGUAAUGGUGUAUAACCUAUGGCACAGGGGGAUGGCCAAGAUGGGUUUACAGAAGCUUGAAAGUAGUUUAAGUAGUAGAGUGACUGCCUCUGUCCUUCCAUCACACUAUGAAAGUAUUGAUGAUUGUAUAAAAGUGGAAAAAGAACCAUUGUAGACGCAAGACAGUAAUACGUCAAUUGGAAUUUGAGUGAAUCCCACAAUUGCCUUCCAACCUUUGGCGAUACAAAAUUAAUAUCGCUUAUCUUUAAAUCGCUGUUAUGAACAUGGGGCAUACAUGCUCCUUAUACUCAGGCCCUCAAGCAGUGCAUAUUGCAGAUUAAUGAGUACCAAACCUGUAAUAAUAAUUCUGACAGAUCUCCAUUCUCCUGUGCUACUCAUUGAUCCAAUAAUGCAUUUUAGGUAGGUCUAUGUAAAGUAUAUUGUACAUAUCUAGUAUAGGUAAAUCUAAAAACAACUGGACUUGCUGAUUAAUCAUUGAAGACGUAGUUCAUAGUCAUAUAUUGUAUAUACUUAGUAUAAAGUACAUUAGGUAGGUUCUAUGGACAGUUUGGAAUCAAUAACUUAAAUAGAUAACAUCUAACAUUUAUUAAAGAAAAUACAACAAUAACUGGGAAUGUCAUCAAAUAUAUCCUGUCAGAAUUAAUUCUGCUUGAGUUUUAGAAUCUCAGAAUACCAAAUGAAGAUGCCCAGGCAAGCGGAAAGAGUUAAGCAAAUGUCAAGGAAAAGUGUUAUGAGGCACACUUCUGCGACACCUCUCCUCAGUGCUACACCAAAAGUCUUUUUACCAUCCACCAACUCCAUGAAGUGGUUCUCCGGCUUGAAUGUCUCAUCAAAUCUUUUAAACUUUGUAAUGUUUGUAAUUAUUUGUGAUGUUGCUCCUGUAUCUACCAUAAGUCCCUUUGGUGUUAAACUAUUUUAUGACUCUUACUUACUUGAAGGCAAAUGUUUGCUCUGUGUCAUCAGCUGCUUGCUUUACAUUUUCCCACCCUUGUGUCUGCAAAAUGUUUCUUUAUGUGAUGGACUCUUGCAAUAGUUACACCACUUUUAUAUAGUUUUCUUGGGUAUGUGUUAGCUUUGUGGCUCUUUUGAUUUUAGUUGUAGCAGAAAGGGUUGAAGAUAAUGUUGCCUUCCUUACUGUUGUAACAGGAGUGCUGACCUGCAUCUCAUUAUCAGUGUUUGGCUGACACAGUAUUUCUCAGUGUCCUCAAAACGUAUUAACUGCAUUUUAAACUCAUUAAAAUUCACCUUUCCAUCACCUUGUGUGAUAUGGAUAGCUAAGGGUUUAAAUGAUUGAGGUAGGCCUUUAAGAAUCAUUUCAAUCAACAGUCCAUCACUAAGGGGCAAAUUUAUUAAGGGCCAAAGUGAAAAUUUGAAUUUUUGAAUUUAAAUUUCAAAUUCAAAUUCUCUAGUUUUUUAUGUCCAAAACUAUCAAAUUCAACUAGGAAAUUGUUAACAUUCGAUUCAAGUUUUUUGAAAUUAGUUUUUUCAAAUUAGAUUUUUGAAACCAAAUUAAAUUCGAAUUCUAUUCAAAUUCAAUUCAAGUUUGCGGGUUGAUCCUAUUCACCCGA